UGCCUGAUGGAGGGGGAUAACUACUGGAAACGGUAGCUAAUACCGCAUAACGUCUUCGGACCAAAGUGGGGGACCUUCGGGCCUCACACCAUCGGAUGUGCCCAGAUGGGAUUAGCUAGUAGGUGGGGUAAUGGCUCACCUAGGCGACGAUCCCUAGCUGGUCUGAGAGGAUGACCAGCCACACUGGAACUGAGACACGGUCCAGACUCCUACGGGAGGCAGCAGUGGGGAAUAUUGCACAAUGGGCGCUAGCCUGAUGCAGCCAUGCCGCGUGUAUGAAGAAGGGCUUCGGGUUGUAAAGUACUUUCAGCGGGGAGGAAGGCGAUAAGGUUAAUAACCUUGUCGAUUGACGUUACCCGCAGAAGAAGCACCGGCUAACUCCGUGCCAGCAGCCGCGGUAAUA
rnacentral:rRNA from 1 species